UGGGGAAUAUUGCACAAUGGGCGCAAGCCUGAUGCAGCCAUGCCGCGUGUAUGAAGAAGGCCUUCGGGUUGUAAAGUACUUUCAGCGGGGAGGAUGGGAGUAAAGUUAAUACCUUUGCUCAUUGACGUUACCCGCAGAAGAAGCACCGGCUAACUCCGUGCCAGCAGCCGCGGUAAUACGGAGGGUGCAAGCGUUAAUCGGAAUUACUGGGCGUAAAGCGCACGCAGGCGGUUUGUUAAGUCAGAUGUGAAAUCCCCGGGCUCAACCUGGGAACUGCAUCUGAUACUGGCAAGCUUGAGUCUCGUAGAGGGGGGUAGAAUUCCAGGUGUAGCGGUGAAAUGCGUAGAGAUCUGGAGGAAUACCGGUGGCGAAGGCGGCCCCCUGGACGAAGACUGACGCUCAGGUGCGAAAGCGUGGGGAGCAAACAGG
rnacentral:rRNA from 1 species